CCUACGGGAGGCAGCAGUGAGGAAUAUUGGUCAAUGGACGAGAGUCUGAACCAGCCAAGUAGCGUGAAGGAUGACUGCCCUAUGGGUUGUAAACUUCUUUUAUAUGGGAAUAAAAUGUUCCACGUGUGGGAUUUUGUAUGUACCAUAUGAAUAAGGAUCGGCUAACUCCGUGCCAGCAGCCGCGGUAAUACGGAGGAUCCGAGCGUUAUCCGGAUUUAUUGGGUUUAAAGGGAGCGUAGGUGGAUUGUUAAGUCAGUUGUGAAAGUUUGGGGCUCAACCGUAGAAUUGCAGUUGAAACUGGCAGUCUUGAGUACAGUAGAGGUGGGUGGAAUUCGUGGUGUAGCGGUGAAAUGCUUAGAUAUCACGAAGAACUCCGAUUGCGAAGGCAGUUCACUGGACUGCAACUGACACUGAGGCUCGAAAGUGUGGGUAUCAAACAGGAUUAGAUACCCUAGUAGUC
rnacentral:rRNA from 1 species